rnacentral:rRNA from 1 species
GACGAACGCUGGCGGCGUGCUUAACACAUGCAAGUCGAACGUGAUUUUUGUGGAAAUUCUUUCGGGAAUGGAAAUGAAAUGAAGGUGGCGAACGGGUGAGUAACACGUGAGCAACCUACCUUACACAGGGGGAUAGCCGUUGGAAACGACGAUUAAUACCGCAUGAGACCACAGAAUCGCAUGAUAUAGGGGUCAAAGAUUUAUCGGUGUAAGAAGGGCUCGCGUCUGAUUAGCUAGUUGGAAGGGUAAAGGCCUACCAAGGCGACGAUCAGUAGCCGGUCUGAGAGGAUGAACGGCCACAUUGGAACUGAGACACGGUCCAAACUCCUACGGGAGGCAGCAGUGGGGAAUAUUGCACAAUGGGGGGAACCCUGAUGCAGCGACGCCGCGUGAGCGAAGAAGGUUUUCGAAUCGUAAAGCUCUGUCCUAUGAGAAGAUAAUGACGGUAUCAUAGGAGGAAGCCCCGGCUAAAUACGUGCCAGCAGCCGCGGUAAUACGUAUGGGGCGAGCGUUGUCCGGAAUUAUUGGGCGUAAAGGGUACGUAGGCGGUUUUUUAAGUCAGGUGUGAAAGCGUGAGGCUUAACCUCAUUAAGCACUUGAAACUGGAAGACUUGAGUGAAGGAGAGGAAAGUGGAAUUCCUAGUGUAGCGGUGAAAUGCGUAGAUAUUAGGAGGAAUACCGGUGGCGAAUGCGACUUUCUGGACUUUUACUGACGCUCAGGUACGAAAGCGUGGGGAGCAAACAGG